AUCCACGUAUGUCCAACCCUCUCUAGACACUCAGCAUGUGUACUGCCGUUGUAAGCAUACCUUUAAAAGAACAGUAUGCCACUAUGAUUAAAUAACUAACUCAUAUACAUCAGGUCAAAGUGCAGCUAAUAAGAAGGUGAUGAUGGGUUACAACCCUAAAAUAGACCAUCAACUAAGAAAUCAAAAAUCUUACGAAAGUGGACUUGGCCGUAAUCAAUUUAAAUUAAAGAAAUGAAUAUUAUCUAAGACAUGCACACAUCGCCCGUCACUCUAUCCCAAAGGUUAGAUAAGUCGUAACAAAGUAGGUGUAAUGGAAAUUGUACCUGUCGAAGUAUAGCAUAUAAAAUGCUUUUUACUUACACUAAAAAUAAAGUUAAAUAACUUGCUUCGCACACAUAAUAAAGCCUUAUAAAUUACACAAUAAUUAAAACAAAUAAAUUAAUACAAUUGAUACAAGUACAGAAAUGGAAACAACAAUAAAUAAAAGUAAAUAUUAACAAUUAUACCUUGUGCAUUAUGGUUUUACAAGAAAAUAAUUAAACAUACUAAUCCCGAAUUCUAAAUGAGAUGUUAGACUGCUGUUGUGAACCCAUUAGUAGCUGUAGAAAAAGAUUUAAAAGACAGUUUAACAGAGGCUACAUACCAUCCGCAUAAGAAUAUAGCUGGUUUUCGACAAACAUUAUAUAUUAAAACAUGUAAUUAUAUUAUAAUGUAAAAUUAUUGAGGAUAAGCCCAAUAAUCAAUGCAAUAAAACACCUAAUCUAUUUUAUCUUAUAGGCCUAAAACCAGCCAACCACAGUACUUUACCGUAAUAUAAAUAGACAAAAAUAUAUAACAUAUAAAAUGCCUAAAAAAGUUGAAAUAGUGGAAAAACUAAAUUUUCCUCCUAUAAUAUGUAAAAAUAAGUAUUAAACACCUAAAACAUAAUAAUCUAGUAAAAACAUCAAAUAAAGAAACAAUAAUUAAUUAAGGAACUCGGCAAAAAUUAUUUCGACUGUUUAACAAAAACAUUGUCUUAUGAACAUAAUAUUAGAUAAUACCUGC
rnacentral:rRNA from 1 species